GACGAACGCUGGCGGCGUGCCUAAUACAUGCAAGUCGAGCGAGCGGAACUAACAGAUUUACUUCGGUAAUGACGUUAGGAAAGCGAGCGGCGGAUGGGUGAGUAACACGUGGGGAACCUGCCCCAUAGUCUGGGAUACCACUUGGAAACAGGUGCUAAUACCGGAUAAGAAAGCAGAUCGCAUGAUCAGCUUUUAAAAGGCGGCGUAAGCUGUCGCUAUGGGAUGGCCCCGCGGUGCAUUAGCUAGUUGGUAAGGUAAAGGCUUACCAAGGCGAUGAUGCAUAGCCGAGUUGAGAGACUGAUCGGCCACAUUGGGACUGAAACACGGCCCAAACUCCUACGGGAGGCAGCAGUAGGGAAUCUUCCACAAUGGACGCAAGUCUGAUGGAGCAACGCCGCGUGAGUGAAGAAGGUUUUCGGAUCGUAAAGCUCUGUUGUUGGUGAAGAAGGAUAGAGGUAGUAACUGGCCUUUAUUUGACGGUAAUCAACCAGAAAGUCACGGCUAACUACGUG
rnacentral:rRNA from 1 species